AGAUCCACGCCACAGAUUUGAGGGCCAUGCAAAGGGAGGACGAAGUCACUGUACAUUCACAGGGCCAUCCUUGGAGGUUCCCAAGCCAUUAUGACUUUUCCUACUAAUGGUGAAACUAAGGCAGAGAGAAGCUAAGCAACUUCUUUGGAUUAUAUAUGAUGAAAGAAAUGGGGGACAGCAGCUUCAGAAAAAAGAAUUGCAGAUAUUUCUGCAGGUGUAAGAAGGAUCUCAUUAAGUGAAAAUAAAGGAUUUUCACUAUUCUAAGAUGGAGGAAAAAAAAGGCAUCUAACCAAGGCAUAUAAUUUAUCUCCGGGUUCAAAAGCAGCAGGACUGCUGUGAAGUGACACCAUGCAGAUCCAGCUGUCUAUGCUGCAAGUUUUCUGCCUGCACCUGGAUUCUUACUGAUCAGCAUCAUUUUAAAUCCUAAUACACAGUGUGGGAAAAGGAAGAUAGUAAUACCAGCCUCAAAGAACA